ensembl:lncRNA
GAUAGAUCUAACCUUAUCCUAAAAUAUUUAUUCAAUUUAGACACACUGACAUUUCAGAGAGCAACAUAAACCAGCUACUUCCAAUGACUUUUACAGCUAAUUUUUCAAAAGAUUAAAACUGUGGACAUAAAACUGUGAUUUUUUUAAGACAUGCCUCUUACCAGGAUGUGGACACCUACUUCCAAGGCACAAACAUGAUCUAGCAGUGGAUGGAUAGGAAGCUGAAUUCAAAUGCUAUCUAUCGCCCUGUAAAGGCAGAUACGUUCAACCUACAGCUAAAAUUGUCAUUUUGGCAUCUGGGCUACAGCUUAUACAGUAAUCUAGUGUUGUAACUAAGUGACGUGGGGGUCCAGGCUUUACUGUAGCCUAUGAAGGACUGACCUCACACGUUAGAAGACUGUCCAAACUAUCAGGCCCUAGCACAAUUUCUUCAUCUUUCCAUUUUUCUUCUUUUUAAGCUGGACCAGAAGUGCUUGGGGAAAAUCCUAGGAAAUCAAUUAGGAUCCUCGAUAUCGAGGAAGGAUGAGACGAAGAAAUUGGACCUCAUAUGCUCUAAUUCUAUUCCCCAGACUUUUUCUUUUUAAAUGUAAUAAAGUAAAAUGUAUUUCAGAGAGCUAUUUUGGAAAACAUGUUCUGUAAAAUUUUUCUAAUAAUUUGUUAGCACUUAUUAGCUUGCUAUACAAACACGCAGUGCUCGUGCUCUUUUCUUUACAUAUUCACCCUCAGAAGAAAGCUAGGCAAGAUGGUUGACGUACAGGUUGACAUGCCUAAGAUUUAUUUUUAUGUCUUUGGUUAUCUAUAAAAAUUAACUGGGGUUCUUUAAAGUUGUCUGUACGCUCAAAGAUAUAGGAAAAAACUGGAAUAUGUGUAUUGGGUCUUCCUCCUUGGAUCUCCAUUCACAGAGUAUACAGGGCAUGUAAGCGCCUGUAUUGGGACACUUCCCUUUCCUGGGACGAGGAAGCUAAAACUGUGUGAAGACAGAACUGAAAUGAGACCCUGAGACAGAUUUCCCCCUAAGGAUUUUUGCUGAAGGUGUCCAGAGCUGGUGGGAGUGGUUGGCACUGUCUAUCUCACCACUCCAGUAUAGUUCAGAACAACUCAGGAGUAUUGGACGGCUCCAGUCUGAGUCAAAGUGAAGUUUCACUUACUCUGGAGCAACAGUAAGAAAAAUUCUGUAAGAUUUGGUGGCUAAACCCAAACAUUUGUAUUCAGCAUUUACAUAUUGUUAAAUAUAGUAAUUGCUUAUCCAGACACUUAAAUUUCAGAAGUACAGUUUCUGCUUUUACAGAUUAAUCCGUCUCUAAAAUAGUAUCUUUCUGUUGUGAUAUUUUGCAAUCUAUUGUUCUAAUUUUUUUGCUUCUACUUCCUCAAUUAAGGAGCAAAAUAAAAAAUGAUACCUUGGGAGAUUAGGAAGUUAUUAAGAAGAGAAACUUGCUCAGAAAAGGAACUUCUUGUUUUUUGUAGAUGCCAAACUCAGACAGAAGACAUGUAAUUUUUUCUUCUUUGGUUACAGCCUAGCUGUACAUUCUGGUUAUAUUUUUCUUUAUUUUCCACUACAGGAACUGACUGAACAUUGUCCUUAUGUUUAUUCUCUUCAAACAAAGUCCUAUACAGACUUUUCCAGGCAGAUGUUUUUAUUUUACUGUUGCCACCUCUACAGUUUCACCUGGAUAGAUUCUCUUCAGUAUUUCGUCAGUGCCACAGGUGGAGAUCAUUUGCUAUGAUUCCAAAGUUGUUAUUCUUUCAGUUUGCAGAUGAGAGAUAAUAGAUAAGCUGUUACUGUCCCUGAAGGGAAAUUAUUUUCUCUUGUACCAGCAAUGAAUCAGCAACAUGUUAUGAUGUAUGUGAUCUUCUCACUGCAGGAAUUUUCAGAUAACUGUACACAGGGUGUUAACUUGUUUGCUGUGUUUUAUCUAUUUCUUAUUGGAUUAUGGCAUCUAGAAAAUUCUUCUGUCUUGAAAGAACAGCAUAACAGAAUUGUAUGAGAAAACAAGAGUGGUUUUUCUGUGUAGCGUAAAAAAGUUUAAUUCAUUUUACCCUGGUUUUGACGUAUCUUUACUUUCUAAAUUUAUUUAUAGUUACACGUGUCUGCUGUGUGUUUUAAUUCAGAUAUCUUUUUUUCCUGUUCUUUCUACCUGGCACCUCUCAGGGCACCACAGAAGGUGAGCAUGGCCUCCAUGCCCAGCAUCACCAGGGAGGACCCAGUGCAGAAGAGGGCUCAGCUCUGGUGCCUCUGAGCUCUAUGAGAACUACAAGGUUCUUUUCCUCUCUCUUCUUGGAAUUUUAGGGAAACAGACUAAUAUCUAGCAGAGUGCCCAACUUUCAUGUAUAUCCAUAAGAACCAAUUUUGCCACUUUCAUCCAUUCAGAUAAUGUUCCCAGAUUUGGCUACGCUUUCUCCUGUAAUGACUAGCUCUUCACCUUCAUUUUUUUUAUCCUUAUCUUCAUUUCACACUUCCUUUUCUAUCCUGUUCCCUUCAACAAUUUUCAAUACUUUUUUUUCCCCCCAUUUAAUAUAGCUCUUUCUAAUCAAUACAGAAAUUAACAUGAAAGUGCAGCCUUCACACAGCUCAGAUGAUUCUUUUGCUAGUUCCUCUACCUCUACCUUGGGUCUUCCCUUCCUGUGUGUUUGAUAAACUUUACAGGAAGUCUAUAUCUCUAUAUUUGUAUAGGUGCUAGACAGAGGGAAGCAGGGCUUCACUCCUUGAUAGCCCUCAGGCAUGAUCAAAUAGUGUCAUAGCAUAUCUUAAAAUUGGUAGCUAUGCUUUGAUGACAGAGAAACUUGCAUGCAAGGGAGGAAAACUUCUCUUCAAGGCAAGAGUUGGACUUAAAACAACAAAGAAUACUAUGUGCACCCCUCUCCCUAUGUACAUACAGUAUCUUGCUUCUCGUAAUUGUGGAGACUCUGAUGACAAAUUACCAGCCUUUCUUUCUUAUCAGAUGUGAUUACACAAGGAAUUUCAUAAUAAGGAUUCCCGUGGUGGAAACCUGCUUCAUCAAAGUCCUGCAGAAAAAUCUAAGAAAUUGGACAUGCUCAAGUACAGAGUUAACCGGAUGGAAGUUGAUACCUUCAUAGGAAGUGGGUAGUACUGGUCAUUUCAAAAAUUAAGAGAACUGAACGUUAAGUCCUGUAUCUGUGUCUUAACCACAAGGCUGAGAAGUCGCCUGCUCUGGUGGUUAAAGCUGGCAUAUCUAUGCUGUUGACAACAAAAGCCUCAUUGUGUAAAAAUAAAAGCAGGUAAGAAAAGACCUGAUCUAGGAGCUGAAGUACACUGUGAGAGAGAUACAAUUGUUGGUUAGGAUUAAGUAUGCAUUUAUUUUAGUCCAUUCCUGAAUACAAGCAAAAUCAGUACUGGAAGAAGGGGCUACAGCCCCAACAUUUUGCAGUACCUAUAUCUAAAAUAAGCAUUUGAGUUAGAUGGAAUAAUUUCCAUCAUUGUUGGUUUCUUAACAACUAUGCUAUCUAAAGUAUUAAACAACUGUUAUAAAUACAUAUGUAUAUAAAUAAACAUAUAUUUAUAUAAAGUAGAGUUUUUUUUCACAAGUAUCACCUGCUAAACCAUUAAAGUUCUCCUGGUUUAUUCAGUGAAAAAUCUAGCUCCUUUGGGCUUUAUAUUACUACAUGUACUCCAUAUUUUUUUGAUAAAACACUUGCUAGAAAUUUGUGGUUUGCUUUUACUUCUAAACUAUAUUAUUAGUUACUUGUACUACUUGGUGAUGCUUCAUUUUGGCUGUCAGAUUGCUGCAUCACUUACUUCUGUGGUUAAUUUUUACUAAAAGAAACCAUCAAUUGCUCCCCAAAGUUGUUUAAAUUCAUAUACCUGAAUUAUCAAGAAAUACAGUCCAAAUAUCACAGAAUUUCCCAAAUUCUCUCUCUUCAAAUGCUGUGUCCUGCAGUUCCUUUCAUGCUGUUCCAAGAAAGUGACUCGAGAGUCUUUAUUAAUCAUGAAAUAUGCUAAUUUAGUGACUGAACUAAAAAUGUGUUUUUCUCUUCUCCCCAUAGCUUGAAGGAAAUAUCCCUGCCAAGUCACUAUCUCUAACACUGAUCUUGUACUAGUAGUGUACAUGUAACCUGUUCAUGACUGAAUCUUUAAAGCCUGGCCAAAUGGUGUUUUUUACAUGUCAGUGUCGAUCUAAUUACAUUUUCAAUAGACUGCAUCUUUAAUUGCAUGAAUAAUUGUGGUAAUUUAAGAUUAAAUACUGAUUUCAUUAAAAAUGAGGACAAAAUCUGUCUGUAGACUGGAUAGCAUUUUGCCCUGUUCAGGCAUAAGUUUAUUGCUGGCAUAUGGCAUAUUUUAGAAUUAUUAUUUUUAUGUGCUGUAAUAAUCUGAACUGGAAAUAACAGUAAUAACCUACACUGGAAGUAACCUGUUUUUGUGAGUUUGAUGGAUAGGUUAUUCCACUGUCAGGAAUUAAGCAGAAAUAUUGCAGUGUUAGCUUCAGAUACAUUCUCCUGGUAUCAUCAAGGGCAUGUCAGGAGAAAAAAACUGUGUUUGUAUAGAGAUGGUAAGUGGAGCAGUUCAUACUCUUAGUUAUGUUGUGCCCUCUGGCAAGCCUGCCAGGAGAGUGCUGUGCUUGUUUUGUGAUGAGAAACCUCCUCCACAUUCCAGCCUGAGCAUAUCUAUUGUUUUCAGACGCAAACAGAUGUGUUCCUUACCUAAGGGAAGCUCUCAAAAAUAUGGAAGUAAAACAGAAGAAACUGAUGUGAAACCACAACAGUAUUUGACCUGUCUGUAUGCAUUAAUAAUCCCAACUUUAGCUGAAGGCAGAAGUCUGUUAUAUUCAGUUUUAUUUAUUUACUUAGUUUCUGCCCUACAGUGCAUAAAAACAAUGGAGGGUAUGAGUAUUACUAACGUCAUGCUUUUAAUUUAAAUUAGCAUUUUGUUAAAUGUGUAUGUGUUUAUUAUAUCAUUCCUAAUAGUUAAAGGCCAGAUAGUUCAGAUUUGUGGAGCUGGUGGAAGAAGGGUAAACAUUUAUAUUCUUUAUUCUGACAAACCACCUUGUAUUUCACAGGCCAAAAUCACAAAACUUCUGUUGAACAAACUAUAUAUCCAUAAUAGCUCUUCCUAAUAAUUCUCAUAUAGUGAAUGAAUUUUAUUUUGGUACAUCUCUGCUGGAGGAUAACAAAGCAUUCAUUUGUCAACUCUUGAAGGUUUUUUUUCUGUUUGAGAUUUUUAAUUCUGUAACUUCUCUCUCUGCAAUGCGCUGACCUGUCUUUUCUAACCUUCAGACCGAUGCCUGUAGGAUGCUCAGACACUUGUUAGACUUCGGAUGUGUGUGGGAGGUGAAGCGACAGCCCACAAAUGGGUCAGGGCUGCAGCUUCUUCAUGAAGGCAAACGUGUAGAAGCUCGUGGGUGUGCACCUUAUCUCAUCUAUGUCUCAGCUACAGCAUAGACUGUAUGAAGAAAUAAUUAAGUGCUUAUAUUGAGUACCUAAUACUCGUAUCAGAAAAAGUAGCAUGCGUUGGAGGACAGCAGGAUGAGGGUGUGAGCAAAGAGAGAAAGGAAGUGUUCAGCACAGUGUAAGUGCAGAGAUAGUGAAGAAUUGUUGAGAUGAGGUGCGGUAAGCCAACACCUCAUCUGCAGUACCUCAUCUGUACAGCAGCACGUCACAGUAUGACACUGUCUGACCAGCAGCUCUCCAGCACACCGCUCUGUGCUCCUGCUGAUGCUGCCUUUGGUAUCUGUGUUGUGCCAGAGUAUAUACAGAUGUCCUGGGUUAGAGAACUCUCCACGAGGUUACUUUCAUCCCACAACAAUUUGCAAAAUUAGAAGCUAGGAUGCCACAAACCUUAUUUAAGAACAAAGAUGUCUCAGUUAUAGAAGUAUAUUCUUGCAAAUAAGAAUUUCUGAAAUGAAAGUUUUCAUGGGGUGAGAUUUAGUGACUUUCAUGCUGAUAUUCAAAACUGACAGGCCUCCAUGGAAAACUGUCAUGAAUUUCUUCUAGAUUUUCUAAAAGAUUUUGACUUCAGAAAAGAAGCCUGUGAUCGAAAAAAUAUUAUUGAGACAGCCAUUAGCUUGAUGUCUCCAAUAAUACAGACCCAUUUUUCAAAAGCAACAUUUCAAAAUGAAAGUAACUCCUCAGUGCAUUCUCUGCAUGCUGAUUGACAUUUGUCAGAGAAUCAUGGAAUCUCUUAGCUUAAAGAUCAUCUAGUUCCAAUCCCUACUUAGGGGAGCAAUU